GUGCAGGCCGGGUGACCGCGGGCCGCUCUGUCGUUUACGGCAGGGCUGUCUGAGGAAAGUCCGGACACCACAGGGCAAGGACGCUGGACCGUCUCCUCGAGGCGAUCCAGGCGGCGAAAGCCGACGGAAAGUGGAACAGAAAGGAGACCGCCGGCCGAUUUCCGAAAGGCAUUGGCCGGUAAGGGUGAAACGGUGGGGUAAGAGCCCACCAGCGGUCGUGGCGACACGACCGGCUAGCCAAACCCCGUCCGGUGCAAGGCGAAGCAGGUCCCGAUGACGCGGCCCGCUGAGGGACCGGGUACGCCGCAAAGAGAGAUGGUCAUCCUCGACAGAAUCCGGCUUACAGGCCUGCUACAGAA
rnacentral:RNase_P_RNA from 1 species